rnacentral:rRNA from 1 species
UACGUAGGGUGCAAGCGUUGUCCGGAAUUAUUGGGCGUAAAGAGCGUGUAGGCGGUCCGAUUAGUCCGCUGUGAAAGUCCAGGGCUCAACCCUGGAAUGCCGGUGGAUGCUGUCGGGCUAGAGUCCGGAAGGGGCGAGUGGAAUUCCUGGUGUAGCGGUGAAAUGCGCAGAUAUCAGGAGGAACACCGGUGGCGAAGGCGGUUCUCUGGGCCUGUUCUGACGCUGAGGAGCGAAAGCGUGGGGAGCGAACAGG